GGGGGUGAGAGGGGAAAGGAGGGGUGUUGUCUGUAGCUUGUGAGGUGUGGAAACACUUUGUUGCUUUUAUGAAUUUUGUCUUGCUGCUUUUUGUUCUAUGUUGCUCUGUCUGUAUGCUACGUCUUGCUUGUCCAAUGUUGCUCUGUCUGUAUGUUAUGUCUUAUAGCAGAAAAUAAGAUGUGCAGCAAAGAUGGUUCAGGUUGAUCCCAAAGUUGUGUGUGUGUGUGUGUGUGUGUGUGUGUGUGUGUGUGUGUGUGUGUGUGUGUGUGUGUGUGUGUGUGUGUGUGUGUGUGCGUGUGUGUGUAGCUGCUUGGGGAUGUGAAUGCCUCAGAGCUGAUCCAGAAAGUCCCUGCCUCUCUGCUGUCCAGCCUAUCCCUGACCACCCUGGACAAGGCUAACCUGACCUCCCUCGACCAACUGGAGGGCAAGCAGUGGACACGUGCACAGGUGUGUGUGUGUGUCUUCUGAACGCAACUCUGGGGACUACGGCCACUGGUGUGACAUUACACACUGUUCUCUGUCUUGCAGUCGGCCUUUCUGGUCAGAAAUAUCCUAGGCAAGAAGAUGACACUUACAGACAUGCGGAAGCUGGGCUCGGCAAUGCAGGGCGUGGCCUGUGAGAUGAUUGAAACAGUGGCUGAAAGUGGCGUCAUGGAGAUGGCCCAAGCUGUGACAGAGACUCCACGCUGGCUCUCUAAGACACAGGUACACACACACACAAGUGAUGACUGCAACUCCUACUGUUCUGUAUGUAAAUCUGUGACAACUGAUAGGUUACAUUAUGAAUGGAGUAGCAGUCAUAGAAUAUCAUAUGAAUUAGAGGAUGUAUAGUAUCAUACAUCUUACCUGGUCGUACAAUAGCAUACGAAUUGGAUGAUGUAAGUUAUUAUACAUCUUGGAGGACUUAUAUGUAUUUCUCUGAGACCAGGUUGCUUGUUGCGUCGUAACAGCAAAGGAGAAUUACGUUCGUGGUUAGGUGAACUAACAACAAAGGUUAGGUGAAUUGGGUCAAGUUUAGAAUAAGGGUUAGGGAAGGGUUAGCUAAUUAAGUGAUAAUGCCUGAUAAAACGGUGUUUGGAGGAUAUAUUGGCACGGGUGUUGUUUGUCUCGGGCAGCAAACUGUGCCAAUAUAUCCUCAGAACAACACCUUCUCUGGCAUUAUCACUUUUAUACAACGAGUUACCAACAUAUUCAAAUAAUGAUUGACAUGUUUUCAUUAACGUUAUUUUGAUUAAUUUAUUCAUACUAUUUCAUCCUUCCACAAAUCUGUGGUUGCAGCCAGAAUAACAACAGUAGCUGCAUUUGCAUUUGUUUAAGCUGUUUUCUAGUGACAUUUAUUUGGAUACAUCCAUGACAAUGAGCAAAUGGUGCGCGAUUUCGACUAGCAUAGAAAAAAUGCUUACUGGUCAGGACUCAGAGGAGCUAGCCAACAACACAGCUAACACGAUCACUUCAAACUGAAGCUGGAAAGGCUGCAAACUAGCUGCACUUCAUUUCGUUUGACAUUUUUUCAAUUUACAUUUCUUUCUUUGUAUACAUCCAUGAAAAUGAUGCCAGCUGAUUCAUGAUUUCGACUGGAUGAGAAACGCUGCCUGCCUGUCUGUCUCGUCCCGACACGUUCAUUACCAUGGGACAGCUGGAGUCAAAUUUGAAUAUUGAAACAAUGUUGCAAAUGUCGGAGAGACAGAUGGCAAGGUUUAUACAAAUCUCCGCUGUUGAAAACUAAACACUGUCUAAAAUAAAUGUGAGAUAAUGUCUAGAUGCUUCUUAUAGUGGAGAUCACGUUUAUAAAUUGCUUGGCUGGGCUGAUGAGACAGUGGAUUGUGCAGUCAGAUGGAAUAGAGUAAAUAGGCAUUUUAACGUCACAGAUUUAGCCAGUGGUAAUUUAUGGAAUAGACACCGGCUGGAAUGUGAUUUUAACCAAUCAGCAUUCAGGAUUAGACUCACCCGUUGUAUAAAAAGCUACAAUUGCCCUCGACACGACUCAAACACGCAACCUUUGGAUUGUUAGAUGGUUGCGGAUUACACCCACUCAUCCUCUCCGACCAACCUCCCUAAAUUAAUUUCUGUCUAAAGUAACUAGGCCAUUAGUAGAUAUCAUACGUCUUCUAAAUGCUCAGAAAUACAUGCAAGUUUGUUUCAUAUAGCUCUGAGGUCAGGCUGGUUAUUACAUGCUUAGGGGCCAUUGAUUUUGAGACACACGUUUAUCUCCCGCCCUCUCACUUUGUCUGUCAGGUGUGCUGUACUGCACAGAGUCUGUUUGCAGGUUUGGAGAAAAAGAGAGCAGGCUACUUCAACAACAUCACAGACACAGAGCUGGAGGAGAUCCCCACCCUGCUGCUGCUUCACCUGCCGUGAUUACACACACACACACACUGGCAGAUGUUGCUGUGUUCCAGGGGUUUCAAUUAAAAUUAUCCCCAGCUGUCCAGGGGGCCACACUGACCUAUUGUUUAUAUGCAAAUGUAUUUUUUUAAGUGUAUCCCCUAUAAAUUUCAGAAUUU
rnacentral:lncRNA from 13 species